GCGAGAUUGACGGGGACGUCUACGGUAUUCGCUCUUCUUAUGCUAUCUUCCUGGGAUUAGUUUGGAAAUAGAUCCCCUUUCUUAUAUUUUCUCUCCACUGUCUCACUCACCAUCGCAUUCACCUGCACUUCUCCCUCUUCCCACCUCUCUUUCCCUUCUUGCAUAUCCUAGACAUGGUUCUGGAGGCUUGGACUUCUUAAACUAAUUGACCUUCUGUUUCAGUAUGCUCUUUGAAGAGGAAAAUAGUUGUCUCCACUAUUAUUCUUUAUGUGGAAUGCUUCAAGAGGUGAAGCAUUUGUUGGAAUAGAGUAGGAGCACAAGAAGAACGUAGCAGUAGAGUGAAGGAAUUGCAGAACACUUGGUGAUAUUGGAAACUUGGCCACUUGGUGUAUAAUCAUUCAUUAUAUAUCCCUUAGAGAGUAUUCGGUGUUUCAUGUAAGGUAAGAAGGAAUUCAUCAAAGAUUCAUUACCCAUCUCCUUUAAUUUUUUAGAGCAAUGUGAUAUAAAUUAUCAAGUAUCUAAUGACACCAAGUUCUUAUUGGAUCGUCUUUAAAAUACCAAUAAGGUUCUUUUCUUCAAUCCUGCUAAAUGUUCAUCAAUUUUUAUGUACAGAAUUGUGUAUUAUAACUGAAAUUGAACAAUAUAUUUUUGUCGUAAUUUGAUACUGCUGCUUGGCCUUA